GCCUAGUUAGCUUAGCUGUUAGUAGUGCGUCUGCCUUGUAAGCGCUAGACCGCGGGUUCGAUUCCCGCCCGGGGCG
rnacentral:tRNA from 1 species